rnacentral:tRNA from 1 species
GGAAGUAGAACUGUGUCGUAGUGGUAGAACAUCUGCUUUCUAUGUUGAAAGGCCAGGUUCGAUUCCUGGCAUCUCCA